rnacentral:rRNA from 1 species
CUGACAUGGGGGCACCCUGACCGCCUGCCGCGUGAGUGAUGAAGGCCUUCGGGUUGUAAAGCUCUUUUGGCGGGGACGAUGAUGACGGUACCCGCAGAAUAAGCCCCGGCUAACUUCGUGCCAGCAGCCGCGGUAAGACGAAGGGGGCUAGCGUUGUUCGGAAUUACUGGGCGUAAAGCGCGUGUAGGCGGUUUUCCAAGUUGGGUGUGAAAGCCUUGGGCUUAACCCAAGAAAUGCACUCAGUACUGGAAGACUAGAGGACCGGAGAGGAUAGUGGAAUUCCCAGUGUAGUGGUGAAAUACGUAGAGAUUGGGAAGAACACCAGUGGCGAAGGCGGCUAUCUGGACGGUUUCUGACGCUAAGACGCGAAA